rnacentral:rRNA from 1 species
GGCGGGACACGUGGUAUCCUGUCUGAAUAUGGGGGGACCAUCCUCCAAGGCUAAAUACUCCUGACUGACCGAUAGUGAACCAGUACCGUGAGGGAAAGGCGAAAAGAACCCCGGCGAGGGGAGUGAAAAAGAACCUGAAACCGUGUACGUACAAGCAGUGGGAGCACCCUUUGGGGUGUGACUGCGUACCUUUUGUAUAAUGGGUCAGCGACUUAUAUUCUGUAGCAAGGUUAACCGAAUAGGGGAGCCGGAGGGAAACCGAGUCUUAAUUGGGCGUUAAGUUGCAGGGUAUAGACCCGAAACCCGGUGAUCUAGCCAUGGGCAGGUUGAAGGUUGGGUAACACUAACUGGAGGACCGAACCGACUAAUGUUGAAAAAUUAGCGGAUGACCUGUGGCUGGGGGUGAAAGGCCAAUCAAACCGGGAGAUAGCUGGUUCUCCCCGAAAGCUAUUUAGGUAGCGCCUCGUGAAUUCAUCUCCGGGGGUAGAGCACUGUUUCGGCUAGGGGGCCAUCCCGGCUUACCAACCCGAUGCAAACUGCGAAUACCGGAGAAUGUUAUCACGGGAGACACACGGCGGGUGCUAACGUCCGUCGUGAAGAGGGAAACAACCCAGACCGCCAGCUAAGGUCCCAAAGUCAUGGUUAAGUGGGAAACGAUGUGGGAAGGCCCAGACAGCCAGGAUGUUGGCUUAGAAGCAGCCAUCAUUUAAAGAAAGCGUAAUAGCUCACUGGUCGAGUCGGCCUGCGCGGAAGAUGUAACGGGGCUAAACCAUGCACCGAAGCUGCGGCAGCGACGCUGAUGCGUUGUUGGGUAGGGGAGCGUUCUGUAAGCCUGUGAAGGUGGCCUGUGAGGGUUGCUGGAGGUAUCAGAAGUGCGAAUGCUGACAUAAGUAACGAUAAAGCGGGUGAAAAGCCCGCUCGCCGGAAGACCAAGGGUUCCUGUCCAACGUUAAUCGGGGCAGGGUGAGUCGACCCCUAAGGCGAGGCCGAAAGGCGUAGUCGAUGGGAAACGGGUUAAUAUUCCCGUACUUGGUGUUACUGCGAAGGGGGGACGGAGAAGGCUAUGUUGGCCGGGCGACGGUUGUCCCGGUUUAAGCGUGUAGGUGUGUGUUCCAGGUAAAUCCGGUU